CAGGCAUGAGCAUGGGAAACCCGCUCGUCGCGCACAGGUGUGUUUCGAGCGCAUCCCAGUAUGCCUACGUGCACGUGCGCGCGUGUGCCUCCUCGGCGCUGCAUCCUGCUUCUGCUCUCACGUACGCUCGACGGGGACCUCUUUGCAUGUGGGAGAGAUCACAGCAGUGUCAGCGGUGGGGGAUUUUGUGGGCGCCAAACACCGCAGAGGGGAGGCGAGCGGAAUGCGCGCACGUUCAGGUGACGGUGUCGGGGGAAGCGACGUCGCUGCGUCGGGCUACGCAGCGGCUCGCUUUGUUUGUUUGUGUGUCUCUCGACACACCCCGAGACCGGCGAUGCACGGAGGCAGCAGGGGCCAGCAGGAUGCUGGGCCCGUCGAAGGCGAAAAAAAAAAGCCGACGCAAAUCUCAAAGGCACGCGCCAACUACACACCGACAGUUGCAAGCAAGGGCGCACACACACACACACACACACACACACACACACUGUGCUGCUCCACCUCUUCAGCAGGCUUCGAGUGUACUGCUUCUAUUCUUUUCAUUCCGGUGGGCGGGUGCGGGAAGGGGGAGGGGUGGAUUUUUGCCGUAAGGCGUGUGCCCACCGCUGCGUCGCACCACGGGAUUCGGAGCCUCUGUGGGGGGAGGGCCGGAGGGGGAGUGGGGAGAGGGGUGAGUCGAGCGGCGUGUGGACCUCGUGUUGUGGUGCGGAGCAAAAACGGGCUCAACGUGCUUGAGCAACGAGUGCAUGCAAAGUAGGUGACGAGAUGAUUUUUUUUUUCAUAGUUUCACGUGUUUUCAAGAUUUCCGCACCGCACUGCUUCGUAUCGUUGCUCGACCCUUUUCGAUGGGUGUUGUGUGCUGGCCACGUUGCUUGACUCCCGACUUCACGACGCGUCACUAUCUCUGUGCAAUGCGCAGUUGUUUUGUGUCGGCCAUGAUGCGUGUGCCUGUGUCUGUGUGCGUGUGUGUGUGUGUGUGCGUGUGCGUUUCGCGCGGUGGCAGAGGCGCUCUCCGCAUAGGUGAAGCCGCACUCCUCAGAAGCCGCCAUGCUUCACCUUUCGCCCUCCUCUGCCGCUCCCUUGUUCUUUUUUUUAUGCAUGUGUAUACGCGUGAGCGCCUCUCUGGGCUCUGUACUGUGGCCACUGCCAAGGACUGCACUGCCUCUCCCCACCACCACUACCACCUCUGAAGGGGAGGGCGCCAGCCGUUAUUGGCGAGCGGGCGCUACAUGAAACGAGGCAUCCAUCACCAACGGUAAACGAAGCAAGAGGCGCUGACAAGUGCCGAAGGGGUGUGCGUGUGGUGCGCCGCUGUGCACUGUGGGCAGGGCGCCUUUCGGCGCAUCGACUGUGUGCGCGCCCGCACUCUUCAGCGAAGAAUGCGAGAUGCGAAACCGCCGGAGGCAAAGAGAAAAGCGGUGAGGCCGAAAGGGCAGGGAAGCAGAUGGCGCGUGUGUCCUACGCCUCCCCCGAUGGUCAGCGCGACCUCUCCCCCACGCGAUGCGACGCUGUGGGUGACGUGCGAUAGACGCCCUCUCCCGGCGUUUCCCUGCUGCCGCAACGGGCACUUUGGUUCUCCAUGCAGCCCCCCUCCCGUGAACGGUCGGAGUCGCGCCAUGACACCCCUCCACUCAUCUCUGCGUGUAUGCCACCAGCUGUUGUGCUGCUCCUCGCCUCUGCAGGGAGCAUGUGCAUCAGCGCAGUGGCAAAGCCACAACGAUUUAAGUCGUCUUCUCCGUUCUCUUCCCGACACCUUGUGACGCGCAUGCUGUGCCCAG
rnacentral:misc_RNA from 1 species